rnacentral:misc_RNA from 1 species
GAUGAAGAACGUAGUGAAAUGCGAUAAGUAAUGUGAAUUGCAGAAUUCAGUGAAUCAUCGAAUCUUUGAACGCACAUUGCGCCCGUCAGUAUUCUGGCGGGCAUGCCUGUUCGAGCGUCAUUACGCCCCUCAAGUCCCCUGUGGACUUGGUGUUGGGGAUCGGCGAGGCUGGUUUUCCAGCACAGCCGUCCCUUAAAUUAAUUGGCGGUCUCGCCGUGGCCCUCCUCUGCGCAGUAGUAAAACACUCGCAACAGGAGCCCGGCGCGGUCCACUGCCGUAAAACCCCCCAACUUUUUAUAGUUGACCUCGAAUCAGGUAGGACUACCCGCUGAACUUAAGCAUAUAAUAAGCGGAGGA